AAGUCGUAACAAGGUAACCGUAGGUGAACCUGCGGUUGGAUCAUUAUUGAAAUCCAAAACUUUACUUGAAUGUAGGGAAAGGGGGAGAUUAUUUUUUCCCCCCGACCUACUUCAAAACCCCCAAAACAUUUUCCCCUUAACAAGGGAAAAGACGAUCAUGUUAUAAAGCAAAAUUUAUAACUUGAUGCGUGAACCUUUUUACAAUAGCUCUUAUGAGUUAUUUACUUGGGUAUUCAUCCCUUUAAAGAGAGGGGAGAGCAAUCUUCUUCCUUUAAAGAAAACCGGGUGAUGCCCUAUAAACCUAGAAAAAAAAACAUUAUUUAAAACUAAUUUUUCUCUUUCACUCUUCUUCUUUUGAAGGAAAGUAAUCGAAAAGAAAAACAACUUUUGACAAUGGAUCUCUAGGCUCUC
rnacentral:misc_RNA from 1 species